AGCCAUGUGGUGAGCACAAAGCGAACUAUUCUUUCGCCUUUUACUAAAGAAUACCGUGUGCUCUCCACGCUAAGUGGCAUACGCCUAUUUUUGGAGGGCUCUCGCAUUACAGUGGGAC
rnacentral:snRNA from 1 species